UGGCUGCGGUAAUUUGACCGUGCUAAGGUAGCAUAAUCAAUAGUUUUCUAAUUUAAAACUGGAAUGAAUGGUGUGACGAAAAGCAAGCUUUUUUUAAAAUAUAAAUUGAAUUUUACUUCUGAGUGAAAAGGCUUAGAUUCAGAUAAGGGACGAUAAGACCCUAUAAAACUUAAUAAUACUUGUUUAUUAAAAUUAUAAAGUUAAAAAUUAACUAAUUAAAUCUUAUUUAGUUGGGGUGACUAAGAUAUAAAUAAUAGCUGUCUCAGUUAGAUUAAUAAAUAUAUUUUGUUAUUAAAUCCUUUUUUAAAGAUUUAAAACUAAGUUACUUUAGGGAUAACAGCGUAAUUUUUUCUGAGAGUUCUUAUCGAAGAAAAUAGUUGCGACCUCGAUGUUGAAUUAAAAUUUUUGAUUAACGCAGAUGUUAAAGAAAUAGGUCUGUUCGACCUUUAAAAUUU
rnacentral:rRNA from 1 species